rnacentral:SRP_RNA from 1 species
CACGGCUCCUCACGCGGCGCUACCUUACGGAACUCCCCCAGGGCAGGAAUGCAGCAAGGGUACGUGGGCUCUGGCGGGUGCGUGGGGAGUCCUCAUU